rnacentral:rRNA from 1 species
UACAGAGGUCCCAAGCGUUGUUCGGAUUCACUGGGCGUAAAGGGUGCGUAGGCGGUCGGGUAAGUCUGAUGUGAAAUCUCACAGCUUAACUGUGAAACUGCAUUGGAUACUAUCCGGCUCGAGGAAUGGAGGGGAGACUGGAAUACUUGGUGUAGCAGUGAAAUGCGUAGAUAUCAAGUGGAACACCAGUGGCGAAGGCGAGUCUCUGGACAUUUCCUGACGCUGAGGCACGAAAGCCAGGGGAGUAACGGA